rnacentral:rRNA from 1 species
UACGAAGGGGGCUAGCGUUGCUCGGAAUCACUGGGCGUAAAGGGUGCGUAGGCGGGUCUUUAAGUCAGGGGUGGAAUCCUGGAGCUCAACUCCAGAACUGCCUUUGAUACUGAAGAUCUGGAGUUCGGGAGAGGUGAGUGGAACUGCGAGUGUAGAGGUGAAAUUCGUAGAUAUUCGCAAGAACACCAGUGGCGAAGGCGGCUCACUGGCCCGAUACUGACGCUGAGGCACGAAAGCGUGGGGAGCAAACAGG